ensembl:lncRNA
GCGUAGCAAACACGUAAUGACAAUGCUCAGGGCACCCCUCCUAGCGCUCGCCGGAGCCUCCAAAAAACUCCAUUAUACCCAUUUUACAGAUUGGAAGACUGAGGCACAGAAAGGUGAAGCCCAAGGUCCCUUGAGAGACGCAAAUCCCAGCUGGACUACCGAGCCGCCGAGGAAUCAUUUCUCGUCCUCUCUAGCCUCAGUUUCCCCGCUGGGAAAUGAUACCACAAAUCUUCUGCUGGAGGGAGAAAAAAGGGAAAGAACCCAAGAAGAGGCUUCUAGAUGGUUCUUCCAUGCAAGCAUGCCCCAGGAUGGCCGCAACCAAGGACCAGGGUCCCGAAUCUGUGUGGGGCCUUUGGAGACCAGAGCCCGCUCUUCAGAGCCCAUCCUGCUCCUUCCUUGCACGGCUCCAGAAGGGGGAGUCCGAGAGGCUUUUCUCACCCACUCCCAUGGCCCCAGGGCUGGGCCCGGCAGACACUCAGGGAGGGACCCAGAUGGAGGCCCUGCUGCUGUGAGCCUGUGGCUUUUUAACUCCCAAAUACAGUCGUCUCCCCAUCUCCCCACCGGGAGGCUGGCUGGCCAGAGGCCAUCCUGUCCCAGGGACAAGUCCUAAAAUAGGAAGCUGUUUCCUAGAGAAAUACAAAACCAUGGCCUUUGGGCACAGCCUCUGGGCCACCCCUCCAUCCAUCAGCAGAGCAAGAAGGAGAGGCUGAGUGGCCUGAGCGGUGGCCCAGUGCUCUGGCCGUGCUGACCUGUGCUGGGCGGCAGGGAGACCCCUGGUGACUGAGAGAUGACACAGGUGAUGCCUCUUCCACAGGAACUGGCACAUAGUAGGUGAUCUGUUCAUCUCGGUUCUCUUAGACCCAGAGUCCAGAACCUGUCCCGUGGCUUCAGAAGGCCCAGAAAUACCCUGAGCGCUAGACAAGAUUUCGUGUGUACACUGUCGCUGGUGAGUGAGAGCGUUCACUAAAAUCCCCAGGGGGUCAAAGACCUCAGGAGCCUAAACACACUGGCUCCUUGGUGUAACGUCUUAAUGAGAGUUGAACCCUUGGGAGGCGAAGACCUGCCUUAUUUGCCUGGAUAACAUCACAGCCUAGGAAAAGCCCUGGCAUCUUGAACAUUCAAUGGAGUGAGUGCACGAGGUAAGGCAUGAAAAGCAACUUCUUCCUUCAAGGAAUUCAGGGCUUGGUAGAGGAGAUAGACCAAAAUAUAUGUAUCUAUUAACAUGAGGCAGAAAAUGAUAAAAGUGGAAAGAAAUGGAAAAAUUAAGUGCUGCAGAAGCUCCGAAUAGACAGAAAGUUCUCUGGCAGCCUGGGAGACGGUGGGUAGGAAGAAGCUCUGUCGAUAGAAUGGGGUGAAAGCUGGGAAGUCAUUUCAGGAAACGUGGAGAAAAAAAAAAAGAAUCACAAACUUUAUAGAGACACGAAGCUUUUUUUUUUUUUUUAAUGUGGUUUUGCACUCGGAGCCUAAUGGUUUUUCCUUUCUUUUCUCACACGAGCUGUCCAGUGUGGCAAGAGGGACGGAUCUGCUCAAGGCGGGGAGGGAAAGAGGUUGGGAAAGAGAGGUUGGAGCCAGAUCCUGGCUGGGGCAGGGGGGGCUCGAAUGCCAGUCUCCAUUCCCCCAACUCUGAAGCCAGGGAGCUGUCCCUCUGGGGAGGAGAGAGGGAAGGGACCUCUGGAGGGAACGCUGAAGCAGUGGGGGGCGGGGGGGAGGCCAGGAGGGCAGGUGGCGGGAGAGGGGACAGGUGGGCCGGCGGGAAGGGGAAUCAGGCAUCUGGCCAGUGACUCCCAGGGAUGAUGCUGAGGACAAAGUGACCUCUGAGAAUCCUCUGAUUUGCCCCAGCUUGAGUAACUGGUCAUCUUUAAUAUUCAGAUAACAUCGAAUUUGAAACGAGUACAUUAAACUCAGUUACAAGAAUGUGUAAGACAAGAUUUUAAAAGACGAGCAAAACCAAAAUACAAACACGGCAGAGGCACCCACGCCGGUGCUUUUGCCUUGAAGUCUCCUCGGUGUGCAGUGGUGCUUCUCUAAACCUCUGCUUGCCUCCCGGACCUCGGCGCCCUCCCUCUGCUGCCUCGAGGCCUUUGUUCACCACCGUUCUGCUUUGAAAGCUGUCCCCUCGCUCUUUCUCAAUAGCCCUUGCAUCAGGAAGCAGCCUACCCAUGCAAGGACAGUGCUGCUGACAUGAGGCUGGCGUUUUCUGGAGGGCUCCAGCCCAAAGGGACCUUUAUCAUAAACAACGUAUUACAGACCCGCACCUUCCAAGCCCGCGCUGUCCUCGCUCUGCACGUGAAACUCAGUUCAGCGCAGUCAUAGUAAUAGUUGCCCCUCUGUCAGUGCCCGCACUGGGACCGGCCCUGCUCUGAGCCCUUCACCACUAUGGGCUCCUCUGAUGGGCAGAAACGUCCCCAUGGGACAGGUCCUGCCACUAGCCUCACAGAUGGUGAAACAGAGACACAAGCUUUGAUGGCUGGUCCAUGGAGAAGCCAAGAUACAAGCCCAAGAUGCUUAGCCCGGGAGCCGUGUUCCCGACCCUACUCCUAACUGCCUAUCGGUUGAGACCCAGCUCUUUUCUUGACACACUCUCACUGAUGUGCAGAGGCAGUGGAGCUCAUUCCUGGCAGGACUUUCCUGCGAAAGAGGCCGAUGGGUGACCGUUCCAUGCUGCCCCCGUCCUAUGGAUAACACAUACUCUUGUUAAAAUGCUGGAGGACCUGCUGAAUGUGGGGAGCUUUGGGGGAGCAGGUUAACAGCCCUCUAUGGUCUGUUCUGUUCCUUAUACUCCAUGGUGGCCUAAAGGGACCAGACACUGAAGCACUUUCUGCCUCCACAUUCCAAUCGGGGAAAUGGGCUUGCAAAGUGGAGACUAACAUAGGCCCACAGCAGUAACUUGCCUAUUUGAGGCAAGUAAGAGCUUCUCAAGAAAGGAGCCACAGGUCUUUCAGGGGCCACGCAGAGAGCUUGAUUUUAAUGUAAGAGAGAAACACAAUACUGGAGAAAAUCUGACUAGGAAUGGAGAGGCACGGGUUUCUGUGCUGGUUUUGCCACUUGCUAGUCAUGUGGCUGCAAAUACAGUUUAAUCUUCCAGGCUUUGGUUGGCCCAAGAGAUCCACGUGAAUAGUCCCUAUAGCAUGUCCAUGCCGCAACUCCUUUGUUGCCUUCUCCCAAGCUUUCCAUCAGGUGAACUUCUACUUACUUCUCAAAACCCCGGAGAAAUGCUCCCCCGUCCCCGCGAAGGCUCCGGAUGGAAUUAAUCUCUCUUCCACUUGGAGCACAGAGCGCGCGUUCAUCUCUCUACCUGGGGCUUCCAUGUAUUGCUACAUCGUAUUUUACAUAUUUGUUAAUCAUUUAAGAAAGUAUUAAUUUAUUUGACAUAAUAUCCUGAGCACCUGCUAUGUGCCAGGAGUUGUCCUGGAUGCUGGAAAUAAAAUGAAUGAGAGAUUAUUAUGGGCUGAAUUA